CCUACGGGAGGCUGCAGUGGGGGAUAUUGCACAAUGGGGGAAACCCUGAUGCAGCGACGCCGCGUGUGGGAAGACGGUCUUCUGGAUUGUAAACCACUGUCCCCAGGGACGAAAAUGACGGUACCUGGGGAGGAAGCUCCGGCUAACUACGUGCCAGCAGCCGCGGUCAUACGUAGGGAGCAAGCGUUGUCCGGAAUUACUGGGUGUAAAGGGAGCGUAGGCGGGGAUGCAAGUUGGGUGUCAAAACUACCGGCUCAACCGAUAGUCGCACUCAAAACUGCAACUCUUGAGUGAAGUAGAGGCAGGCGGAAUUCCUAGUGUAGCGGUGAAAUGCGUAGAUAUUAGGAGGAACACCAGUGGCGAAGGCGGCCUGCUGGGCUUUUACUGACGCUGAGGCUCGAAAGUGUGGGGAGCAAACAGGAUUAGAUACCCUGGUAGUC
rnacentral:rRNA from 1 species